rnacentral:misc_RNA from 1 species
AGAGACAGGAGAGGGGGGAGAAAGAGAAUUUUAAAAAAAGUAGAAUUAUAUUGAAUAAUCUUGAAUGGUUCCUAAGUUACAACUCCCUGCACCGAUAUAUUAGCCAACAAUAUUAUGAUACAAUUAACAACUACUAACAACCAUAUAACGUUACACUAAAUCUCUUGCUACCUUCACAUCACAACAAAGUGUUGGCAAACCAAACCACCAUAUUGGUGAUGGAGAGUCCAAUUUAGGAAGAACGCUGCCUGUUUUAUUGAUUCACGCUCAUGGGCUCGUGAUUCUCAACAAUCUUCACAAACGCUCUGAAUAGAGCUCGAGUUAACUAUAUUUGUAACAAAUUGGGCUUGAUUAACAUCUAUUUUCAGUUUGAAGGGAGUGUUCUAG